GACCUGGUGGUGAAUGGCUCACACCUACCCGCUUUAUCAUUUCAUCAUGUAUGUGCAUAGGAGCUCCCGGUUCGAAUCCGGGCCAGGUCG